UAUUAAAAAUUUUAUCCAUUUCUAUUAUUAAAAACUAGUGCGGUUGACAGAAUAACCAGACAGUUACAUGUAGUGUGUCACGUGUACCUCAUGUUGAUGUACAAAUACCGAUUUUCAACAGUAAAAAUGGAUGGGAUUUUUAACA
rfam:Gossypium raimondii Chr07_contig_1371, whole genome shotgun sequence.